AAUAAGAAACUAUAAUAACUUAAUAACAUUUGAACUUCUUGUUAAUCAUCUCAUCAUCUCAACUCUGAAAAUGAUAAGAUAGAUAAUUUCCCCUUCGUAAAAUUACAAUGAAAAUUUAUUUUCUUCACCUUCUAAGUUGAACUCCAUUUCACCUUUUUAUGUUAGCUUGGUCCUUGAAAUAACGCUUUAAACAAUGCUAUUUUGCUUAUGAUAGAACGCCUCAAUUAAAUUAUAAUAUUGAAUUCUAUAGUAAUUGGAUUUUAUUGAUUUGUAGUAAACUAUAAUAAUUUAAUCAUAGAAAGAAUUAAUAGGCUGAAGAAUUUCUCGUAAAUAGAGAGAUAUUAAAAAUAUUAAGUUUUUAUGUGAGAAAUAAUUUUUCACGAAGGAUUGAACUUUUGUUCCAAAUAACAAAUAUUUGUAUAUCAAAUAACAAAUAUUCAAAUCUACUUCUUUUAAUAUUUGUUGACUUGUUAUUCAGCUCAUGUUGAGUUAUCGACUAGCCUAUUCUACAAAAAUGUGCAAAUUUUCUAUUUUUUUUAUUGUCUAUCUUGAAAAUAUUACUUUCAACUUUGAUAACUUUAGUUCAAUGAUAAAUUUUAACUUUGCUUUUUUAUUCAAAUAUCAAUUAUCUCCCUUGUCAAAUCCCUUAAUCAAAACUGUAAUUUUUAUAUUUUAAAAUGUACUGCUAUUAAUACCACAGAAAGACAUUUUCUACAAUCCUAAAGUUUAAUAUUAUUUGAGGUAUUAAUUUCUAUUUAUCAAUAUUAUUUCUAUAAGAUUUUCUUGUACUAAUCCAUCUGGAUAAAAAUUACUACUAUUUACAACUCAUUGUUCAAUAUAGACUUAUAAUCAAUAUUUUAAACUAGAACAAUAAAAAAAUUCUACAUAAUCUGAGAUCUGAUUCUUAAAAGAUUGAUUUGAAAAAAAUGUAGAAUGAAAAUUCUAAAUAAGAUAUAAAAAAAUUAAAACUUACAUACUUGGAAUGAAUGAAAUGAAAGUAAUUUCAAUGACUAAUCAUUGAUAAAAAUAUGUACGAAGAUAUUAAUAAUAUUAAUAAUAUUAAAAAUACAAGGAUUAGUUUCACUUUGUCAGUAACUGAGAGAGUGAGACAGUAAACUUUUUAAAAUAAAUCAAUCACGCGGUCUGAUUUUGGUAUCCACACACCAUUUGUCAGUAACUAAGUGAGUGAGACAAUAAACUUUAUGAAAUAAUCAAUCAUAUGGUCUCAUUUAGGUAUCUGCACACCCUUUGUAAGUAACUGGACAAGUAAGAGAAUAAACUUUAUAAAAUAAAUCAAUCAUAUGGUCUGAUUUAGGUAUCUGCACACCCUUUGUAAGUAACUGGACAAGUAAGAGAAUAAACUUUAUGAAAUAAAUCAAUCAUAUGGUCUGAUUUAGGUAUCUGCACACCCUUUGUAAGUAACUGGACAAGUAAGAGAAUAAACUUUAUGAUAUAAAUCAAUCAUAUGGUCUGAUUUAGGUAUCUGCACACCCUUUGUAAGUAACUGGACAAGUAAGAGGAUAAACUUUGUAAAAUAAAUCAAUCAUAUGGUCUGAUUUAGGUAUCUGCACACCCUUUGUAAGUAACUGGACAAGUAAGAGGAUAAACUUUGUAAAAUAAAUCAAUCAUAUGGUCUGAUUUAGGUAUCUGCACACCCUUUUGUCAGUAACUAUGAGAGUGUGACAAUAAAUUUUUGUAAAAUAAAUCAAUCAUGUGGUCUUGUUUUGGUAUCUGCACACCCUUUGUCAGUAACUGAGAGAGUGAGAUAGUUAACGUUUUCAAAAUAAUCAAAACUGUACAACGUUUUAAGUAAGAUAUGAUAUCAUUGAUUUGAUAAAAAAUGUAAUGAAAUAUAUAAAUUAUUGUAUAAUACAAGAAGUAUCAUUUAGGUUUCAUUUUCAUGAAUAAAAUUAUCAAAUAUUCAGGUAUUCUAUUGCUUCCCAUGUAUCUAGAGAAACUAAAGUAAAUCAACCCAAUUGCUGAUUACUGAUUAAUUGUCAAGGAGCUCUGUUUCUUUGAACUAACAAUCGCUUUAAUAUUUUUUUCUAUAAAAAAAUGAUACAUGAUCGUACUUUUAUAUUGUUCAACUUCUCCAAUCAACAAAAUUUCCUUUCACCUUUCAUUAUAUCAACUGCCUUACUGGAUUUAAAAAAAUAUAUCUUAAAUUCAUUCUUUCUAUAUUAAAAUGCUUUUAACUUCAAUAGUUUGGUAUCCUGAUUAUGUACGUACUUUUAUAUGCUUGAUGAAGUUUAGAAUCACUGCUCAAUUUUUAUUUCUCACUUGUGAGAAAACAAGAAAGAACUUAUUUUUAAAUUUGAUUGGACUGAGCUUCCCACAAUUGUUCUUACUUAUUCUAUAAUUUGUCAAGGUUGAUAAAAACCUAUAAUCAUUGAUAAAGACCAGCAUGAUAUGUAACAAGCUAUUUUGUUAUUGCAGAUACGAUUAUAUUACAAUUUAGUAACAUUUCACCUCAUAUAUUAUGUACCAAGAUAAAGACAAUGUAAAGUUAUUGCAAUGAUUAUAUUAUCAACCUCUAUAUAUAUCUUAUUACUUCAAGUACAUAUUUCUGUGUUUUUUAAAUUCUUUAUAAUGUUUGAUUUAUCAAUAAACCACAAACUGUCUGCAAAAAAAAUGUCAAAAUUUUUUUAAAUGCUCAAGUGAAACUCGUUAUUUGGAAAAUGUUGGCAUUUCCUGGAAAUAAAAUUCAUGAGAGCCAGCUCUUACUAGAACCUUCAAAUUAAAAUUACUGUUACUUAAAAUGUAUCAAAUAAAUAAUAAAUUUAUUAUGAUAAUAACUGAGUUAUUUACUUCUUAAUGGGAUUUAUUUAUAUUAGUAUUGCCUAUAGCUCUAUUUCAUUAUGAGGUUCUAUGCAUUUAAUUAAAAUCAUUUUUAUUGAUCCAAGAAGUCAAGUCAUAAUAAUUAUUCCAUGUUUACCAAAGAAUUUCUAUCAAUUCUAAUUAAGAUUAUUGUAUUGGAAAUAUCGAUAAUAGAGCCGAAAUCCAAUUCUCUUAUAGCUCAACAAGUAACGUUAGUUUUAUAAAUUCUAUUUUGAAUUUGACUUUUCAUCAAUUCUAAUAAUUUUAUUCUCACUCAUUUUGAGAAUUCAGCUCCAUUUUCUAAUUGAGUAUUUAUUUUUCCUUUUUUCUAAUUGGUAAAACCAAGCUCAAAAUUAUGUAUUUAGAAAAAUAAAAAUAGAAACUCAUAUUAAACAUAAUCGUAGUCUAGUGUUCAAAAUCAAAUCAAAUUUAGUUCUGGAUAAAUCUUAAAAUAUAUUCUAGUAAACCUUAUUCAUUAUGAAUUCUUUGCUUAAUUUUCAUAUUCUGAUGUAAUCAGAAGUAGUUUUUCUGUUGAAAUGUUGAUUUAUAUAAUAUUUAUUUUCAUGUUGAAUUAUACUAGAUUACAGUAACUGAAUUUUACAAACUCAGAAAUCAAUUUUCAACCAAAUAACUGUCAUCCAAGUAUGAAUAAUUAUUCUCUCGACUUAACAUUACUUUAUUUCCAAGUACAACUAGAAUAAACGUUGGUGAUUGUAAUUAUCAAUCAUGCAAAUUUAAAACUUAUAGACAAUAGUUGAUUUCAAUAGAGUUUUUCAAAGUAUGAAAAUUCAAUUGUUGUUUGGGUAUUGAAUCUUUAGAAUUAAUAUUUUAGAGAAAACAACAAAUGUAAUAGAGUUUUUCAAACUAUGUAAAUUCAAUCGUUGGGUAUUGUAUAAUAUUUAAAGAGAUACUAUUUUAGAAAAUACAACAAAUGUCUCUUAUUUGAAAGCAAUUUCCUUUUCUGCUCAACUGUAACAUUCCAUUCAUUCUACUUUAGAUGUUUUCUUUUAGAAAAACGUUAACAAGCUGUAGUUAUGAGUUGAAUUUCAAGCAGGAUAUUAACUAUUUCUAUCACAAUAAUUGUAAACAAUCUAAAUCAUUGUUUUAAAAUUUCAAAAAAAAGUAUAAACAUUUUUUAUUCAAAUCUAGUUCAAAGUGAAACAUGAUACUCUGUAAAAAUGUUUUGAUCACCAAUGAAUUUAUAUAUCACUAGAUAAUUAUCCAUCACUGAAUGAAUAAAGAAGUGAAUGAAUGGGAAAAACCUUCUUAACGUCCAUUAGCAGUAUUGUUUUAUUCAAAUCAUCAGUAAUUAACUGUAAUAAUCUGUUUAAAUAAACUCAAGACGUAUUGAAGUUAUACAUAUUGGAAAUUUUUACAAUAUUCUUGGAAUGCAUUAAUUUUUAAUCAAUAGUAGCUGUUUGUUACAAUAUUAAUAAUUGUAGGCAAAUCAAUUUUUACAAUGCAUUACUAAAAUGAAGCUAAAUUAUGGAAUUGAGUUUCAAUCUUUUUAAAAACAGCCUAAUAUAUUUCUGUAUUUGAAUAAAAUUAGAAUUUAGUGAUAUUAAAAAUUAUAAUUCUACUUUCAUGUUAUUACUUGUUUUUUACUUUUACUUUUUCAUGAUUUAAAUGAUGAAAUUGAGUUUCAAUUUCUUCAAAACAGCCUAAUAUAUUACUGUAUUUGAAUAAAAUUAAAAUUUAGUGAUAUUAAAAAUUAUAAUUCUUUUUCAUGUUUUUCACUUUUACUUUUUUCAUGUUUUAAAUUAUGGAAUUGAGUUUCAAUCUCUUCAAAACACCCUAAUAUAUUACUGUAUUUGAAUAAAAUUAAAAUUUAGUGAUAUUACAAAUUAUAAUAUUCUUUUUUCAUUUUUUUAUUUUCAAUUUUUUCAUGUUUAAACUUAUGGAAUUGAGUUUCAAUCUCUUCAAAAACACCGUAAUAUAUUACUGUAUUUGAAUAAAAUUAAAUUGAGUGACAUUAGAAAUUGUAUAUUUUUUCAUGUUUUCACUUUUCUAUAUCCAUGGAAAUAAACGCCUGAUC
rnacentral:lncRNA from 1 species